CCUACGGGAGGCAGCAGUGGGGAAUAUUGGACAAUGGGCGCAAGCCUGAUCCAGCAAUGCCGCGUGUGUGAAGAAGGCCUUCGGGUUGUGAAGCACUUUUAUCAGGAGCGAAAUGCCAUGGGCUAAUACCCCGUGGAGCUGACGGUACCUGAGGAAUAAGCACCGGCUAACUUCGUGCCAGCAGCCGCGGUAAU
rnacentral:rRNA from 1 species